CUGAACUGGAACAAUCGUCUGUGGAGUGAAAACCAGACAGCCUAUCAGGGCUUGUUUCCUGAGACAAAGUUCACACUGGUUCACAUCCUGGGUCCAGUGAGGACAAGGACUCCUCCAUGCCCUGGAAGCAUGGCUCCUAGCCCUGAGAAGGCCCUCACUAGCCCUUUAAGAGAGCCAAGAAUAUGCAGCCCAGACAAGGUGUUUCCGUCAAGCUGGUCCCCUGACCACUGGAGAACAAUGUGGAGGCUGGAGCCGCGAGGAGCCUUGGAGCGAGCAAGAGAUUCCAACCCAGACCCCUGGAAGGCCCCAGGAGGAGCCCACGUGGGAGGUGCCAGCUGCUGAGGAAGGUCUGACACCACACAACACACCCGGGCCAUGCAGGAAAGCUGCCUGCCCUGCACCUUUGCAAUGUGACUGCAGAAUCUGAGCAUCUGAGAGCCAUCAGUCCAGCCCAUUAGUACUGUAACCUGAACUUUGCUGCAGUUUGCACUAAAGACAAUGCCUUCCAUAUAAGAGGCUGAGACGAGGAAGCAGCCAAGCUAAUUAACCGGACAAAAAAUUGGAUGCUCAUCCACAUGGCAGGUGUCUUCUUUGUUGAAAAGCUUCUUUAAUACAGAACUAUUCUGGGGCAGUUUAAACAGGAGUUUGAGUUAUGAAAGCAUUUUUUGUGAGCAUAUCAAUUCUGCAUGCCCAAGGGACAUGCAUGGCACACAAUUUCAGAGCUGCCGUCUAAGGAAGGUUGUUGUUUAGUCUUUACGUCAUGUCUGACUCCUCGU